rnacentral:rRNA from 1 species
AUGCAGAAACCUUGCGCACCCUCACCGAAGUCGUGCACUUUCUGCGUAUUGGAAACAACAUCGCCGCUGAUGUCCACAGUGUCGAACCUCUUCCACCAUGUAGAUGGUGAUGCCUCAGGGUGGAUGUACCGAGCGGGCCUUACAAAUAAAGUUAAACCUCCAUUUCAAAACACCCGAUUCAGAACAUUUUGCUUUCUUUAUGAAGGUCAGGUUUCAAAAUCCUCAACAAUGAUCGAUUAA